GUCCGGGCACUUGCUGCUUGGGUGGCGCAGCUAGCAUUAAAUUUCCGCCUGGGGAGUACGGCCGCAAGAAAAAACUAAAGGAAUUGACGGGGGCCUGCCAAGCGGGGGACCAUGUGGUUUAAUUCGAAGCAACGCGCAGAACCUUACCAGCGUUGGACAUGUCCGGACGAUUUCCAGAGAUGGAUCUCUUCCCUUCGGGGACUGGAACACAGGUGCUGCAUGGCUGUCGUCAGCUCGUGUCGUGAGAUGUUGGGUUAAGUCCCGCAACGAGCGCAACCCUCGCCUUUAGUUACCAUCAUUUAGUUGGGGACUCUAAAGGAACCGCCGGUGAUAAGCCGGAGGAAGGUGGGGAUGACGUCAAGUCCUCAUGGCCCUUACACG
rnacentral:rRNA from 1 species